rnacentral:rRNA from 1 species
AUUGAACGCUGGCGGAAGGAGGAAGAAAGGAAAGGAGAAAGGAAGAGGGGGCUUCGGGAGGGGGGGGAGGGGAGAACGGGUGAGUAAUAUAUCGGAACGGGGGAAGUAGUGGGGGAUAGCUCGGUGAAAGAGGGAUUAAUACAGCAUAAGAAAUGAGGGUGAAAGCGGGGGAUCUUUGGACCUCGCGCUAUUGGAGGGGCCGAUGGCAGAUUAGCGAGUUGGUGGGGUAAAGGCCUACCAAGGCGACGAUCUGUAGCUGGUCUGAGAGGACAACCAGCCACACUGAGACUGAGGCGCGACCCAGACUCCUACGGGAGGCAGCAGUGGGGAAUUUUGGACAAUGGGCGAAAGCCUGAUCCAGCAAUGCCGCGUGUGUGAUGAAGGCCUUCGGGUUCUAACUCCCUUUUCACUUAAACGAAAAGGACUGUGCCAAUACCACGGUUCGAUGACCGUACCCGCAGAAUAAGCACCAGCUCCCUACGUU